rnacentral:lncRNA from 1 species
ACGUGGCUGUUAGAUGAGAUGUGAACCGUGAAAUGCAGUUCAAUCUACCUAAGAGACCACGAACCUCCUUUUCUGUUCUCGGUUCAGGCGUUUCUUGUAUUGCUUUUUCUUUCUUUUUUUCUUUUUUUUCUUUUUUUUCUUUUUUUUUAGCAGGAUCAACCUCGAUUCCUUUUUUCCGCUCACAAUAAGCCCCAGCAACAUACCGGACCGCACUCCAAAAGUGCACUUAUUCGGAUUCAACCUCAGUUUGAACUGUCUCAACCGGUCGAACAACUUGCCCCGGUCUACCAGAUGCCCCUCUUCUG